rnacentral:tRNA from 1 species
GUGUCAUUAGCUUAGGUGGCUUAGAGUGCUGGUCAACGGGGCCGGAGACGAUGGUUCGAAUCCAUCAUGACAUA